AACGAACGCUGGCGGCAGGCUUAACACAUGCAAGUCGAACGCAUCCUUCGGGGUGAGUGGCAGACGGGUGAGUAACGCGUGGGAACGUGCCCUUCAGUUCGGGAUAACCCAGGGAAACUUGGGCUAAUACCGGAUACGUGCGAGAGCAGAAAGAUUUAUCGCUGAAGGAUCGGCCCGCGUCUGAUUAGCUAGUUGGUGGGGUAAUGGCCCACCAAGGCGACGAUCAGUAGCUGGUCUGAGAGGAUGAUCAGCCACAUUGGGACUGAGACACGGGCCCAACCUCCUGCGGGAGGAGGAGGGGGGGAAUAUGGGCCAAUGGGGGAAAGACUGACCCAGCCAUGCCGGGUGGGUGAUGAAGGCCUUAGGGUUGUAAAGCCCUUUCGUCGGGGACGAAAAGGACGGUACCGGAAGAAGAAGCCCCGGCUAACUUCGUGCCAGCCGCCGCCGUAA
rnacentral:rRNA from 1 species